GCGCCUGUAGCUCAGAGGAUAGAGCGCUGGUCUCCGGAACCAGAGGCCGUGGGUUCAAAUCCCACCAGGCGCGCCA
rnacentral:tRNA from 1 species